CAGGAGCUUUCUGAAAAAGCUGUCUGAAAAGCUUGGAUUCAUGUAUUGUACUAAAGCUUUACAAGAUGGUGAGAAUCUCUUCAUGCACUAAGGAACCACUCUUUGUAUUGAAAAAAAUCUAGAUUUUUAACUCAAGCUGUGUUCUUUUUGUAUGUCACAGCUUCUGUGAGCUUAUAGUAAGCAUUUGAGAAGCACAGUUCACUUGGAUUUCUGGAGAAGACUGAUGACAAAUGGAGUACAGCUAGUAUUAACUAUGAAGCACCCCACAGAAUACUCAAGGCAUUGUGCUUCACCUAUGGAUCAGAAAGAUGUGGAUGGAAAUAGCUGAUCUUUCCUCCUUCCUGACCUGUGGAAUGCUAUUAUAAAUUACUGCUGAGCAAGCAUUGAUCUUUAUAAAGUGUGGACUACCUGAGGCGCUCUUGCCCUAGAAAAGAAGGGGGAAUGAGAUCCGUAUGGACGCCAUUGCCUCCUGGAAUGGCUGAGAUGCAGGCUUUAUAAGUUAACCUAGCCUGUUUAAUAUGUUUACUGCCCUCUGCAUGCAUUCUACCUUUAUCUAAGGAACUUAGUCCUUUUUUGAGUUACCCUCAUGUGACAGACCUCCAGCCUUCUCUUAUGAUAACCAGUUGAAAAGCUUCAAUUGUUCUGUUGCACUGCAGAAAAUACAGCAUUUUUUAAACAUAGCAUCUUAUUCUUAAUUGAGCUUUGUAUAUUCCAUACACAAUAAAUGUCUAAAGCUGUAUUGCA
rnacentral:lncRNA from 1 species